GAUUAUACUGUGAGUUAAACAAAAAGAAAUGUGUCCACAUCUCAAACGACAUUGGAACAUCCAAAAAUGCUGUUGGAUUCGCUUUGGCCCUAUUGAUUCCAAAGAUGGAUGACAGAGUGCCGGCGUCGGUGCCUUUUUUUAUUCUUUCAGCAAGUGAUGGAUUGAAGGAAACAGUUCGCCAGUUGAAUAAUGUCAGAAGGAAAAUAAAAGUCAUUACCCCACGGGCUAAAGUCUCUUCUGAGGACUUCGUCCUAUAAGAGCUACUCGUGUGGCUUCGUGACCAGUGCUUGCUGGGAACUUAACGGAACUUACUGACAGACUUGACAUAAUGUUUCUUUGAGCAACAUUUAUUUUAAUUUAUGAUAUAUAUAUAUAUAUAUAUAUGUGUGUGUGUAUAUAUUAUACAUGCUUAUAAUGGAAGUUAGGGAUGGUCACUGAAAAUUAAAGCGUGUUUUUUUGACGAGGUGUGCGGAGGGUCUUGGAGCUCUAAAGAGCCUGACAGAUUUGCUAUGAGUGAGCCCGCGGUCGACUAGCCCUAUUAUGUUGUUAAUCUAUAAUGCAGCUAAGUCUAUGUUUGCUAUUGUCUCUGUUUUCAUACCAAUGUACACUAUAUUCGACUUUUGUGACAAUUUAUAUAUUUAUAUACAUUUUAACAUUAAAUAUAAAUUAUUUAAU
rnacentral:sRNA from 1 species